UCAAACCAGCUGUCUCUCCCUGUUUUUCAAUUCCACAUCUUUCUUUCUGUCUGCUACUACCACUGUUUGUACGGCCACUGUCGCAUCUAUGGCGAUGACCCAGAGCGCGGCGGAGGCUUGUAGCCCGGUGGUCUUGAAGACGGGCCUCACCGUCAUCGCUCUCUGCAUUGCCGGCUACAUUCUUGGCCCCCCUCUUUACUGGCAUUUCAUGGAGGGUUUGGCCGCUGUUAGCCAAUCUUCUUCCUCUUCUACUUGCCCCCCUUGUGUCUGCGAUUGCUCUUCUCAGCCUCUCCUUUCCAUCCCCAUCGGACUGAGCAACACUUCCUUUACAGCACAUGGGGAAAAAAAUGCUCUGAAAUAGGCGUGGGGUUUGAGCUGGGCAGGCGGCUUCAGUGGCGUCUCCAGCAUGUGGCUUGCGUGGGCCCGGGUGAAGUGCAGCAGGAAGGAGAAACUGGGCCCAAGGGACAGAGCUGGGCCGUGAGGUGGUAGUGGCGUGGGCGUAGGUGUGGGCAGCUGGGCUUCUAACUUCAAAACCGACUACAGAGUAAUCGACUUACCACCUUUAAUCCUUCAUCACAGUCCACACCCACGCCAUCUCUUCGCCGUCUUCCUUCGUCGAUCACCUGUGCUCUUUUUCUCCUUCGUUGCUUCAUCAGAUAUUUGAGAUUAUGAUGAUAGAGCCCACUUGAAUUAGUAAAAAUUGAAGUAAUAUGUGGCAUCAGAAGUUCAUGAUUUAAGCCAUUGGAUCUUUUCAAGUGAGAGACUUCUAAGUCAAAAUACGAUAUCAAUGAGUAUCAUUUAUUUUACUUGUUAUUUAUUUUCAUUUUGGUUUAUUUAAUAUUUAAGUAACAUUUUUUUAAUGUUUAAUAAACUGAUUGGUUUAGUUCAAAUUUUGAAACAAUGUUUAUUUUUUUAGUUAUUUUAAAAUAAAUAAAAAAGUCUAAGUAAAACAUAACCGACUAUAAAAUUCUAAAUGAGCAAAUUUAUGGAUCUAUAUGUAUUAAAUAUAUAUUUAUUGAGAGGGUGAUAUUGUUAAAUGGGCAUGCUAUGAAUGAGUUUAGUUUCCAAUAAAUAUUUUUUUGCAAGAUGUUAAAGAGUUGGGAUAAGUUAUGAUUAGUUCAAUUCAUCUGAAUAUCCAAAGUAACAUUUUAUAUAUUUGUG